AGCUCGAAGUGACUCGUGCGAGGGCAAAGCUGGUGGGGAAGAUUUAGCAAUAUAUACCCAGAGCCAUCCCAGCGGGUAUUACGUCCAAGAAGAGGGACAAAGGCCCAAUAACCCGUGGAUGAGAGGCAGAGUGGCGGGAUCGGAAUAAGAGAACGACCACCGGGUGCCAGCUGUUGGGUUCGAGGAGGAGAAAGGUAUGUUCUUCUUUCUGUUCCCAUUAAAAUCGAACGCAAUUCCCUUAUAUCUGAAAGUGUCGGUAAGCGUUUGUUACAAUUUGUCAACAUUUCGGAGACUGUUACAAGUCCUUGACAGCGUGAAAAAAAGGGAUUAAGCUGGAUUUUGUAGAGACCCCGAAACAGACUAAACUUCCGUGUCCCUUAAGGUGCUUUCACACUGCCACUAACGGAGCGUUACGGAGCAUAGCGUAGCGUAGCGCAACGUGGUGUGACGGAAGAAUGUGUACUGUAGCGUAAGGGUGUUUGAAGUUCCUCCCCCCGGUAGAUUGAGUUGACUCUUAUUUAUAGCAGAUGGCGUCUUAAUGACUCUGUUUACGUCUUGACAGCUGGAAAUGAUUUCGUUCAGGUCAAUUCUCGUUUCUCAUUUCAACGCGUCUAAAUCGUAAUAGAUACUCAAUUUAUUUGGAGCCUUGAGUUGGACAAUCAGCUCAUGGAGCUGCAUAGAACAAUUUCCUUGUCUCUAUAACCGAAACGAUGAAUACUUCAAAGUUCCCAGGAAGCGUAAUGAUGCAAUUGCAGAAAUAGGGAGAAUUUUGGAAUGUGACAUGUUUGAGGUAGCGAGAAGAUUCAGGCAGUUAAAAGAAAAAUACAUCACUGACAUCACUGAAUCCCAGAACGAAGAAAAAUGUGUGAUGUGCAAAAUGGAUUUUCUGCAACCACACCUUGAAUCUCAUAGUCCCACUCCCAACAAUCAAUCUUCAGAAUUUGUCUUUGAAUUCGUAGAUAUUAAAAAAAAGCAUCAUUACUACGGAAAAUACUGUAUGGAGCAGCUAUGGUAUUAGUCUGGGCCAGACGUUGUCCAACUUGAAUCACAAAGCGGCCUGCUCUCUUCGCCACUCCAUUGAAACCAUCAUUUUUACGGAUCUUAACGAAAAUUAGUUUGUUUUUUAUUUAUUUUUAUUUGAAUUCUUUGA